GGCCAGGUGGUGGAACAGGCAGACACGCGGUCCUCAGAAGGCCGUGCCCACCGGGCAUGAGGGUUCAACUCCCUCCCUGGUCA
rnacentral:tRNA from 1 species